AGCGAACGCUUGCGGCGGGCUUAACACAUGCAAGUCGAGCGCCUCUCUUCGGAGAGGAGCGGCGGACGGGUGAGUAACACGUAGGUAAUCUACCUUUUGGCGGAGGAUAACCCUAGGAAACUGGGGCUAAUACUGCAUAUGGUCUACGGAUCAAAGGCUUCGGCCACCGAAAGAUGAGCCUGCGUCCCAUUAUUUAAUCCUAGUUGGUGGGGUAACGGCCUACCAAGGGUACGAUGGGUAGCUGGUCUGAGAGGAUGAUCAGCCACACUGGGACUGAGACACGGCCCAGACUCCUACGGGAGGCAGCAGUGGGGAAUAUUGCGCAAUGGGGGAAACCCUGACGCAGCCACGCCGCGUGAGUGAUGAAGGCUUUCGAGUCGUAAAGCUCUGUCGUGAGGGAAGAAGAUCUGACGGUACCUCACAAGAAAGCACCGGCUAACUCCG
rnacentral:rRNA from 1 species